rnacentral:lncRNA from 1 species
AAAUGGCCACCAUCAAAUUAAUUAACUUGUUCUCUGCAAUCACUCAAGCUAUUUACAUAAUAUUACUAAGGAUUACAACUUUGUACUCAUUGACACAUGUUUGCAUGCAUACAUGGAGAAGAGGUAUGAAAUAGAUAAGUAUUUUUAGAGCAGCAUAACGAGCACUGAUCCUAAUCUAGAAUGAAAACAAGGCAAUCCAAGACUGAUUCAAAAAUUCAAAAGGAAAUUCAAGAAAUACAUUCAGAUAUGUCAAUGGUGUCAUUCCUUUUCUCUCUAUUUUUCUGUUUUUCUCUUUGCCCAGUUUCUCCAUUUUCUUCCUCAAUCUUUUGUGCUUU